rnacentral:misc_RNA from 1 species
AAGUCGUAACAAGGUUUCCGUAGGUGAACCUGCGGAAGGAUCAUCAUUGCAUAAUCCGCCUUUCUACACCCUGUGGACUGUUAAAGGUUGGGGUCAUGGGAGACAGUUAAGACUGGUUCCGAUGCCCCGACGUCUUUCAUUUUUACACGCGCUGACUACUCUGAAUACAAAAACAAACAUACACAACUUUUAACAACGGAUCUCUUGGUUCUC